rnacentral:rRNA from 1 species
GACGUAGGGCGCGAGCGUUGUCCGGAUUUAUUGGGCGUAAAGAGCUCGUAGGCGGCUUGUCGCGUCGUUCGUGAAAACCUGCAGCUCAACUGCAGGCUUGCGGUCGAUACGGGCAGGCUAGAGUUCGGUAGGGGAGACUGGAAUUCCUGGUGUAGCGGUGAAAUGCGCAGAUAUCAGGAGGAACACCGGCGGCGAAGGCGGGUCUCUGGACAGUUCCUGACGCUGAGGCACGAAGGCCAGGGGAGCAAACGGG